rnacentral:rRNA from 1 species
UACGGAGGAUGCGAGCGUUAUCCGGAUUUAUUGGGUUUAAAGGGUGCGUAGGCGGGUUAUCAAGUCAGCGGUAAAUCGUGGAGCUCAACUCCAUCCAGCCGUUGAAACUGAUGAUCUUGAGUGGGCGAGAAGUAUGCGGAAUGAGUAGUGUAGCGGUGAAAUGCUUAGAUAUUACUCAGAACACCGAUUGCGCAGGCAGCUUGCUAAUCCGCAUCUGACGCUGAUGCACGAAAGCGUGGGUAGCGAACAGG